rnacentral:rRNA from 1 species
UACGAAGGGGGCUAGCGUUGCUCGGAAUCACUGGGCGUAAAGGGUGCGUAGGCGGGUCUUUAAGUCAGGGGUGAAAUCCUGGAGCUCAACUCCAGAACUGCCUUUGAUACUGAGGAUCUUGAGUUCGGGAGUGGUGAGUGGAACUGCGAGUGUAGAGGUGAAAUUCGUAGAUAUUCGCAAGAACACCAGUGGCGAAGGCGGCUCACUGGCCCGAUACUGACGCUGAGGCACGAAAGCGUGGGGAGCAAACAGG